CAAGACAUCCAGAAAAGGGAAAAAGGAAGAAUUUCUCUCCUCAUCUAUGGAGAUGGAGAUGGAGAUGGAGAUGGCGGAGUAGGAGAUAGGCAGGAGGUUUGAGCCGGAGGAGGGCAGAUGAGUCCGGCCGCGAUGAUGCUACGUCGUUUCUGCUGCUUCAGCACCGCCGUCUCUCCCUCCGCCUCCUCUUCGUCAUCCGCUCCCACCGCCAAGAAGAAGCCCCUCGUCUUCCUCGGCUCUCCUCAGGUCUCUGCCACCGUUCUCGACGCCCUCUUCAACGCCUCGAGCUCCCCAGACUCCCCGUUCGAGGUUGCAGCAAUAGUUACCCAACCGCCGGCUAGAAGAAACAGGGGGAAAAAGAUCAUGCCAUCUCCGGUGGCACAAUAUGCGCUUGACAGGGGAUUCUCCCCUGAACUUAUUCUCACACCAGAACGAGCAGGAGAGGAAUCUUUUCUGUAUACUUUAAGAGAAUUGAAUCCUGAUAUUUGCAUCACUGCAGCAUAUGGAAAUAUUCUACCGAGCAAGUUUCUUAAAAUUCCUCCACUGGGGACUGUUAAUAUACACCCAAGCCUACUACCAUUAUAUCGUGGCGCUGCUCCAGUUCAAAGAGCAAUUCAGGAUGGUGUCAAGGAAUCCGGAGUAUCAUUAGCAUUCACUGUCCGUGCUUUGGAUGCAGGACCCGUGAUUGCUAGUCAGCGAUGGGAAGUUGAUAAUCGAAUUAAGGCGCCAGAUUUACUUGACCUGUUGUUCUCUGAAGGAUCUAAGCUUUUGAUCCGCGAACUUCCUUCUUUACUUGAUGGCUCCGCUCAAGCAAAAGCCAAGCCACAAGAUGAGACUAAAGCCACCUUAGCUCCUAAGAUAACCCCUGAAGAAUCAUGGCUAUGCUUCAAUGAGGAGGCUGUGGCCCUUCAUAAUAAAGUUCGUGCAUUUGCAGGUUGGCCAGGAACCCGAGCCAAGUUUGCCUUGAUGGACAAAGAGAAUGGUCAGCAGAAUGUCAUAGAGCUUAAAAUCAUCACUACGAGGGUAUGCAGUGAGAUCAGAGGUGAAGGUGGUGAAGUGGAUGGCAUAAGUUUUGCCAAGGGUGCUUUAUUAGUUCCUUGUGGAGGUGGCACGGUACUGGAGGUAUUGGAAGUUCAACUUCCAGGUAAGAAAGUGGUCGAUGCUGCUGCAUUUUGGAAUGGAUUGCGAGGGCAAACUCUAAUGAAGGUGUGACGCAAGAGGAUUUUUCUGCUUGGCGAUGGAUAAAGAACAGAGUUACAUUGUAUCGAGCUAAUUUGCAAGAAAUUUAAUCUGAUGCAGAAGCUUUCCAUAUCUGAUCGUCUUUGGAGUCGAGUGUAGAGGACGUUACAUCUCUGGAUAAGUGGGGCUAAGUGUUUUAAGGCUUGACCAUGAAAGAAACCCCUGAAUGGAACCAGGAGAAAGCAAAUGGAAUGCAAUGGUGACAAAGUAGAAGCUUGAAUGGAAGAUUGAAGCUAACUAGUGGACGUCUAUAUUGAUGUCUUGACCUAAUGCAUAUCUGAAAACUUGAAAUCCGUCCCUGAAACUCAAGAAGUGGCUGACAACUGAGUGUAAGGUCUCCGUACUUCACCAUGUGGAUGGAAAAUGAAUCAAUAAAAGGGCUCACUUGAAGCCACAUUCUCAGAGGUCAA